UGUGAAAACAAACCUAAAGCUGAAAACUGAAAACAGAUGAUCUAGACCAUUGAAUUUUCAUCUGACGGAUUAGAUUACAUUCGCGUUAUUUGUAAUCUUGACCGUCCAUUCUCUCUGCUCUAUUUUUAUCUUUCUUCAAUCUCACGAUAUCACUGGUUCUCUAUCCUUCUCCUAAAAAAUCAUCAAAUUUCAGAGGAAUUUGCUUCAAUCUUCAUCAAUAAUUUGCUUCAAUCUUCAUCAAUUUCGUCUUUAGCUUCAAAAUUAAACCUGAAAAGUGAGUUUUGCGUUUCAACAAUCAAUUAUGUGAGUUAAUCAUUUUCGUCGCUGAAUAUUCAUCCCAUUGAAGCGAGUUUUGAGCUUUCUCGAUCCUCCAUUGAAGCGAGUUUGAGCUUUCUUCUCCAUUGAAGCGGCUUCUCAGGUAGUAUUUCUUAAAUUAUCGACUAUCAAUUUCACAAUCUAGGGUUUAUUUCUAGUUAAUUGCUCGAAUGUUUUUGUUAUGAAAUAUAAAUUGUUGUUUGGAUUCGAAAUUUGUUGAAUAGCAUGCGAAUUUUGUCGAUUCAAGCAUUUAAUUGUUUUUAGAUUUUAUGUGUCAUGUAUUGUGAGUUUGUGACCCUUGAAUUUAUGUAAAAUUGGGGGAUUAGAGCAAUCUUGAGCUCUUCAUUGUGCCUUUUGCUUGGUCGGUUUGUUGUCAAGGAUUCAUGGGGGAAUUCGAGUAGUUUAGCAUCUGUUUCUUGUGAUUGUACUGCCUUGCAUUUUGAUGCAGAGUAAAGAUGAGAAAUAGGGUUACAUUUUUGGGAACUAGCAAGCUGAACUUGGUGAAAUUGUAUAAUUUCUUGGAUUAUAUUUUCUUUAUGUUUAGUACUUUUAAGGCUUUAUAAAGAGGCUUCCAUUGCAUAUAUUGAGGCUUCCAUUGCAAAUAUUAAACAGAUUUCUACAUGUGAAGGAGACAGAAAAUUGAAGUAUGGCGAUCAUCAUGGUUUUCUCGUAAUUACACUUAUUGACACGCCAAGAGCUUAUGCUGAUCUCAAAUCUGAGGAACUUGGUCAGGGUGAAGCUAUAGCUCAAAACAUAAGGUCUAUGUUUGGACUGAGAGUUCCUGUCAUCUCAAUAGUCACCGGUGAAGGUGGUUUUGGGGGAGCUCUGGCCAUCUGUUGCUGCAAUAAAUUGUUUAUGCUUGAGAAUCCUGCUUUCUAUGUUGCUAGGUUUUCUUCGCAUCUAUUGUCUAUUUUUGGUUUCUUAUUAUUAUUCAAAUUCCUUCAUCAUUUUCCAAUACAUGCUUACCUUAUUAUUUCCCUUUUGACAUUCCUGAAGCAUCUAUUGUAUAUGAAUUUUUCUCUUGCUAGAUAGUUAAUAAGCUUUCAUGGGAUACAGCCUUAUUAAUUUCAGAAGAAUCUAUCUUUUUCAUGAAAAGGCUGCUGAAAACAUGAGGAUAACAGCCCAAGAACACCUUCGGCUAAAAAUUGAUGAUGUUAUCAUUCCUGCAAGCUUUUCUAAAUUCUCAAAUUUCUGCCUGAAAUCAACAUGAUUUGUUUGGACACUUGGAAUGCGUUCAUUUGGACUGCAUGCUUAUUCCACAUAAUUGGCAGAUUGGUGAGUGUGUUGCUAACUGGUGGAGGCCCAAUUUUGAAACAGUGAUGUAUCCCUACUGCCCUCCUCACAUCACAAUGAGUUAAUAGCUAUGGAGUAUAUUGUUUUUGUGUGCCGGAAGCCUAUUAGCUUAAUUGGUCGAGCAUUGUGCACUUGCAUUGCACAUGAUGUGGGUUCGAAUCCUACAUAGGCUUACAUGUAGUGAUCUUU